rnacentral:rRNA from 1 species
UACGGGGGGGGGCAAGCGUUGUUCGGAAUUACUGGGCGUAAAGGGCUCGUAGGCGGCCAACUAAGUCGGAUGUGAAAAUCCCCCAGGCUCAACCUGGGAACUGCAUCCGAUACUGGAUGGCUUGAAUUCGGGAGAGGGAUGCAGAAUUCCAGGUGUAGCGGUGAAAUGCGUAGAUAUCUGGAGGAAUACCGGUGGCGAAGGCGGUGCUCUGGGCCGGAACUGACGCUGAGGAGCGAAAAGCGUGGGGGAGCAAACAGG